UAUGUGCCCUUGGACUACAU
rnacentral:miRNA from 3 species